GGAUUCCCCUAGUAACUGCGAGUGAAGCGGGAAAAGCUCAAAUUUAAAAUCUGGCAGUCUCUGAUUGUCCGAGUUGUAAUCUAGAGAAGUAAUGCCCGUGCUGGACCGUGUAUAAGUCUCCUGGGAUGGGGCGUCAUAGAGGGUGAGAAUCCCGUCUUUGACACGGACUACCAGUGUAUUGUGGUAUGCUCUCAAAGAGUCGAGUUGUUUGGGAAUGCAGCUCAAAAUGGGUGGUAAAUUCCAUCUAAAGCUAAAUAUUGGCGAGAGACCGAUAGCGAACAAGUACCGUGAGGGAAAGAUGAAAAGAACUUUGGAAAGAGAGUUAAACAGUACGUGAAAUUGCUGAAAGGGAAACGCUUGAAGUCAGUCGCGUUGGCCAGGGAUCAGCCUUGCUUUUGCAUGGUGUACUUUCUGGUUGAUGGGUCAGCAUCAAUUUUGACCGCUGGAAAAGGGCCUGGGGAAUGUGGCAGCUUCGGCUGUGUUAUAGCCCCUAGUCACAUACGGCGGUUGGGAUUGAGGAACUCAGCACGCCGCAAGGCCGGGUUUCGACCACGUUCGUGCUUAGGAUGCUGGCAUAAUGGCUUUAAGCGACCCGUCUUGAAACACGGACCAAGGAGUCUAACAUGCCUGCGAGUAUUUGGGUGAAAAACCCGAAUGCGUAAUGAAAGUGAAAGUUGAGAUCCCUGUCGUGGGGAGCAUCGACGCCCGGACCAGAACUUUUGGGACGGAUCCGCGGUGGAGCAUGUAUGUUGGGACCCGAAAGAUGGUGAACUAUGCCUGAAUAGGGUGAAGCCAGAGGAAACUCUGGUGGAGGCUCGUAGCGAUUCUGACGUGCAAAUCGAUCGUCAAAUUUGGGUAUAGGGGCGAAAGACUAAUCGAACC
rnacentral:rRNA from 1 species